rnacentral:rRNA from 1 species
CGGAGGGGCUAGCGUUGUUCGGAAUUACUGGGGCGUAAAAGCGCACGUAGGCGGACAUUUUAGUCAGGGGUGAAAAUCCCGGGGCUCAACCCCGGAACUGCCCUUGAUACUGGAUGUCUGGAGGUCGAGAGAGGUGAGUGGAAUUCCGAGUGUAGAGGUGAAAAUUCGUAGAUAUUCGGAGGAACACCAGUGGCGAAAGGCGGCUCACUGGCUCGAACCUGACGCUGAGGUGCGAAAGCGUGGGGGAGCAAACAGGAUUU